UACGAAGGGGGCUAGCGUUGCUCGGAAUCACUGGGCGUAAAGCGCACGUAGGCGGAUUGCUAAGUCAGGGGUGAAAUCCUGGAGCUCAACUCCAGAACUGCCUUUGAUACUGGCGACCUUGAGUCCGGGAGAGGUGAGUGGAACUGCGAGUGUAGAGGUGAAAUUCGUAGAUAUUCGCAAGAACACCGGUGGCGAAGGCGGCGACCUGGGUCGAUACUGACGCUGAGGUGCGAAAGCGUGGGGAGCAAACAGG
rnacentral:rRNA from 1 species